AUUGAACGCUAGCGGGAUGCUUUACACAUGCAAGUCGAACGGCAGCGCGGACUUCGGUCUGGCGGCGAGUGGCGAACGGGUGAGUAAUGUAUCGGAACGUGCCCAGUAGCGGGGGAUAACUACGCGAAAGCGUAGCUAAUACCGCAUACGCCCUACGGGGGAAAGCAGGGGAUCGUAAGACCUUGCACUAUUGGAGCGGCCGAUGUCGGAUUAGCUAGUUGGUGAGGUAACGGCUCACCAAGGCGACGAUCCGUAGCUGGUUUGAGAGGACGACCAGCCACACUGGGACUGAGACACGGCCCAGACUCCUACGGGAGGCAGCAGUGGGGAAUUUUGGACAAUGGGGGCAACCCUGAUCCAGCCAUCCCGCGUGUGCGAUGAAGGCCUUCGGGUUGUAAAGCACUUUUGGCAGGAAAGAAACGUCGCGGGCUAAUACCCCGUGGAACUGACGGUACCUGCAGAAUAAGCACCGGCUAACUACGUG
rnacentral:rRNA from 1 species